rnacentral:rRNA from 1 species
UACGAGGGGGGCGAGCGUUGUUCGGAAUUAUUGGGCGUAAAGGGUGCGUAGGCGGUUUGGUAAGUCUUGUGUGAAAUCUCCAGGCUCAACUUGGAGUCUGCACGAGAAACUGCCGGGCUUGAGUGUGGGAGAGGUGAGUGGAAUUCCUGGUGUAGCGGUGAAAUGCGUAGAUAUCAGGAGGAACACCUGUGGCGAAGGCGGCGACCUGGACGGACACUGACGCUGAGACGCGAAAGCGUGGGGAGCAAACAGG